rnacentral:rRNA from 1 species
UAACACAUGCAAGUCGAGGGGCAGCAUGGUCUUAGCUUGCUAAGGCUGAUGGCGACCGGCGCACGGGUGAGUAACACGUAUCCAACCUGCCGUCUACUCUUGGCCAGCCUUCUGAAAGGAAGAUUAAUCCAGGAUGGCAUCAUGAGUUCACAUGUCCGCAUGAUUAAAGAAUUUCGGUCAUCGAUGGGGAUGCGUUCCAUUAGGUUGUUGGCGGGGUAACGGCCCACCAAGCCUUCGAUGGAUAGGGGUUCUGAGAGGAAGGUCCCCCACAUUGGAACUGAGACACGGUCCAAACUCCUACGGGAGGCAGCAGUGAGGAAUAUUGGUCAAUGGACGAGAGUCUGAACCAGCCAAGUAGCGUGAAGGAUGACUGCCCUAUGGGUUGUAAACUUCUUUUAUACGGGAAUGAAGUGAGGCACGUGUGCCUUUUUGUAUGUACCGUAUGAAUAAGGAUCGGCUAACUCCGUGCCAGCAGCCGCGGUAAUACGGAGGAUCCGAGCGUUAUCCGGAUUUAUUGGGUUUAAAGGGAGCGUAGGCGGACGCUUAAGUCAGUUGUGAAAGUUUGCGGCUCAACCGUAAAAUUGCAGUUGAUACUGGGUGUCUUGAGUACAGUAGAGGCAGGCGGAAUUCGUGGUGUAGCGGUGAAAUGCUUAGAUAUCACGAAGACUCCGAUUGCGAAGGCAGCUUGCUGGACUGUAACUGACGCUGAUGCUCGAAA